AGAGUUUGAUCCUGGCUCAGGAUGAACGCUAGCGACAGGCUUAACACAUGCAAGUCGAGGGGCAGCACAGGUAGCAAUACCGGGUGGCGACCGGCGCACGGGUGAGUAACGCGUAUGCAACUUACCUAUCAGAGGGGGAUAACCCGGCGAAAGUCGGACUAAUACCGCAUGAAGCAGGGGCCCCGCAUGGGGAUAUUUGCUAAAGAUUCAUCGCUGAUAGAUAGGCAUGCGUUCCAUUAGGCAGUUGGCGGGGUAACGGCCCACCAAACCGACGAUGGAUAGGGGUUCUGAGAGGAAGGUCCCCCACAUUGGUACUGAGACACGGACCAAACUCCUACGGGAGGCAGCAGUGAGGAAUAUUGGUCAAUGGACGCAAGUCUGAACCAGCCAUGCCGCGUGCAGGAAGACGGCUCUAUGAGUUGUAAACUGCUUUUGUACGAGAGUAAACGCUCUUACGUGUAAGAGCCUGAAAGUAUCGUACGAAUAAGGAUCGGCUAACUCCGUGCCAGCAGCCGCGGUAAUACGGAGGAUCCAAGCGUUAUCCGGAUUUAUUGGGUUUAAAGGGUGCGUAGGCGGUUUGAUAAGUUAGAGGUGAAAUACCGGUGCUUAACACCGGAACUGCCUCUAAUACUGUUGAACUAGAGAGUAGUUGCGGUAGGCGGAAUGUAUGGUGUAGCGGUGAAAUGCUUAGAGAUCAUACAGAACACCGAUUGCGAAGGCAGCUUACCAAACUAUAUCUGACGUUGAGGCACGAAAGCGUGGGGAGCAAACAGGAUUAGAUACCCUGGUAGUCCACGCAGUAAACGAUGAUAACUCGCUGUCGGCGAUACACGGUCGGCGGCUAAGCGAAAGCGAUAAGUUAUCCACCUGGGGAGUACGUUCGCAAGAAUGAAACUCAAAGGAAUUGACGGGGGCCCGCACAAGCGGAGGAACAUGUG
rnacentral:rRNA from 1 species